AUGGCGGCCACCUCCAUCGUCGUCUUCGCCGCCAGACCGUCGCCGGCUCUAGGGCUGCCUCGGCUGAGACUUGCCAGGGCCGAGGGGCUGAGGUGCAGGGUCAGCAAGAAGGCGUCUUCGGCUCUGGCUCCGAUGGUGGCCAAGGGCGCGCCGCUGCUCUCCAAGGCGAGCGGCAUGGCGUCAGCAGCCCCGAUGCUGGCCUCGGCUCUGGCGCUGGUAGACGAGGGGAUGUCGGGCGAGCGCGCCGGGCAGAGCAACGACCUGCUGGGGUGGGCCCUGCUGCUUGUCUUGGGCCUCGUCUUGUGCUUCUACGCCGUCUACUCCACCACCUUCGACGACGACGACGACCGGUCAGGUGGCGGCGGCAUCAUGCUCUGCAGCCUCGACACCACCACCAUCUUCUUCUUCUGCCUGCCUGCCUGCAUCUAUCAAGCAUGGAUGAACUGA
rnacentral:rRNA from 1 species